AGAUCGAAAGUCCGUAAACCCACGAUGUUUUGUAGGGCAACGAUGUUUUUCGAAAAUUUCGAUGAACUGAAUGCUGCACGUUAGAGUGAAAGAGAAAGCAUGCUUUUAUUUUUCAUCGAUGUUUCACAAAGCAUGCUAUCUCGCUCUUGCAAAUCUCCGAACAUUUUCGAGACUUCUGUCAAAGUUGCAAACGCAAAAAAAUGUCACCUCGUGUGCACGUCGAAUCACGGUCGGAAAAAGAAAAUUAGAUUUAAUCUAUUUGAUUAGCCGUCUUUUCCUGGAUUAUUCGCACAUUUGCACGAAACGGAUUUGAAAACCGUAAUCCGCUGACAUUUGAAGGAAAUUGAGAAGGAGAUUCCAACAAUCAUCCGGUAGACCCGGAUGAUAGUUCCAAGAUGGCGGUCGUGGACGAUGAGAAAGAAAAAAAACACGCAAUGCGUCGCCGGACGUUCCCAAGCUGAGCAUCCCUUCCAUUGCGAGCUCGCCGAUUCCGAGAGGUUCCCCGUUUAGUGACUGCAGUUACGUCCGCCUAAGGAUUUUUAAUCGGGCUGCAAGCUCCGGGACUUGCCCACGAAGGCAGCGGAACUGGCCGCGGAAACCAGCUGUCGGUGUCCGGAACAGUGCAAAAGCUUCAGAAGAGCACUAACCUUUGACCAACUGAUCACACAUGUGGGAAUACGCGAACGCCGGUUCCUGCGACGAUGGAGGAGAGCUUGUCAUUUGUUGAGAAGGAGGAGGAGGAGCAGCAAAAGCAGGAGAGAGGCGAAGAAAAUUAACGAGCGCGAGAACAUGAUCAAAGCCGGGGUCGGUAACAUGAGCCGAUUAAAACGUCGGUCUGUGCCCCUCAGGCACGAUUGCGAGAAGGCUGCGGUUGUCCUCAGAGAAACAAAAGUGAAUUUCAACAAAAACAUCUCGAGAGCUGUGCAGGACUGUCGGGUCGCCAGCUCGUCAGCCCUGUCCAGCAAUAACAACACCAAACAAAUCUCGCGGAUGAGCACCUGCCGUACUGAUACAUUUGGCGAAAGUUGUCCAUAAACAUGAAUCUGACGGCCCCGUUGGUCAACCGGUGGAUGUGGAACCGAUGCUGCGAGAGCACAGGCAAAACAAUAAUUCGUUAAAUCACCCAACCUGAACUAAUAAUCCCCUCUUGCAGAGAAGUCAGAUCUGGAGUCCUGUCCCAAGAAUACCACAAUGGAAGCGAUUUCCGAGGCAGACGGAAGCUGAGUUCGAGGAGGUCGCGAGGAUAUGGCCACGGCUGCACCAACCACCUGGUUAGUCGACACCGCGGGCAGAGUUCUCUGAAGCUAUCCUGCUGGGUGGUUCCAGUGUCCUACCGGCGGUCAGCACGUUCAUUAAAUCAUCGGCCAACGUGACCGUUGUACUGGAUCGGGAGGUGACCAAGGAGCUUGUGGUGGCAGCGGGACCGGUGCUGAACGCAGUCGGUAGGCGGCCAGUUGAACGUAAAACGACAGCUCUUUUGAACACCUGACGGACCAGAAGUUUUAAGGCCUCCAAUAACAUCUUACAAGUGCGACCACCACGCGGGGUCAAGAUGGCCAGCGCGCACGAAAGACUUCUGAAAAAGUUGACCAGGGCACUUUCAUUGGGCUGGGAACACCAAAGAACAAACAAAGCGAGUUCGAACCGGUUUAGUCGGAAGCAUGACACUUUUGUUAGGUCGCAGGGAGUAUGUCAGCGUACAGUAAUCCGAUCUUUCCGAUCAGGACAUUCACUCGGACUUGCCGGUUCCGAGAGGUUCGCCGACGGACCACUUCCGUUGAGUCCAAAACAACGGAACUGUUGUAUUCAAAAUUAAACAGCCGGUGCGGUGGUGACUGGGAGUACCACAACAGUCGGUGUCCGGAAACGCCAAGAAUCGGCAAAAGGGCAUUCGAAAUGCUGAACACAUCCGUGCGCCGGAACCAAGUUUGGCAAGAAGGAGUAGGAGCAGCAGUGCGCGAGAAUAUGGCCAAGGCCUGGGUCGGUGUACCGCCGGAAGGCGACGUCUAAUCUGCAAAAUAUUUCAUGUUUGGACGUAAACAUGUUUUUCUACUUUACUCAUUCCGGUGCGUUCCAGAAAGUUCACCCUACGCAUCGUCCAGUUCCUGUCCUUCCGGUGGUGGAUAUGUGGGACACCCUGCUGCUGACCGGUUGCCCCGAUCCCGGCGAAACGAACCUACUCCGAUGAUUCCGAUCCGGUGAACUAAACAUGUCCCAUCAUUUUUUUCUGUUACAACACCAGAGGCAGCGAAAGUUAAACUUAAUUCCUACAAGAAUUGAAAAAAAAACCAUUUUUUGGCUAAUAAAGUGAAAUUGAGUGAAAAAAAACCAAAACCAAACAAAUUAUUUCAACCAAAACAAAUCAUGAGUUUGACAGAUGACAGAAAAAGAAUAAGAAGAACCGAAAAAGAUAGGUUGACGCGCGUCCGAUUUUUCACCUUUACAUCGUUCUUACAUCGGCCCCGUACGUAGGCCUCUUGCGAUGUUCGAACAACCUUGACAGGUUGACGUUUCGGGUGCAAAAUACCUUGAUUCGGGUCUGAUGCGUGUCUCAAAAUCAGACCCGCAUCGGCCCCUGUAGGUCUGAUCGUCGUUCUUACGGUCAGACCCGAUCGGCCCCGUAUUUCUU